CAAUCAAACCGGGCGGGCCAUUUUGUCCGCUGCGUAGCCAGUGCCCUACAUUAUUGGUCCUCUUGGACCAAAUGGAUUUGUUAUAAUUUAAAUGAAAACAAACACCGCGUAAUGAUGGCGGCUAAGGGAAAUCAAACAAAAUGGAAAUGCUGGUGGAAGCCAAAUCAAAUAAACAACAGUGACCAAAGAAACAACCGUCCAGGGCAUUUGGGAUCAUCGUGCCGGAGCCCAUAGCUGGAUUGCCGUUGGCGACAUAGAAGAUUACCCAUAAAAGACUAGCCGUUGGGAGAAUGAUAACGGGAAGGAGAAUUCAAAUUUUGAUUGAGACCAGAAAAAAAGCAUUUGAAAUUAAGAUAAAUAUAAACAUUUCAGUUUCAUUCGGUUACAGACAUUCUUUCUUUAUCUGAUUGCCUCUUUCUGUUGAUGUUCUGUUCCGUGAUUGUCCCUUUCUGUCAAUCUUCUGUUCUCUGAUUGCCCCUUUCGGUCAAUGUUCUAUUCUUUCUCUCUAUUUUGUUCAUUUUUUUUUUGAAGUGCUUGCUUUGUUUUCAUUUUUCAUUUUCUUGUGUGCAGCGUGCACGCUGGUCUGUAUUGUUUUUGGCCUGUCUGUCUAUUUUUUUUGGUGUUACAUUUUUCUGGCAGAGGAGAGGAAAGGCAGAGCAGAGGAAGAGGCAGAUCAAGCGAGGGCAAAAUCUUCUUCCAGGCAUGAGAUGCAGGGUCCAGCAAGAGUUCAUCUAACCGAUGAAGAGAAGAAGAGACGGGAUGUUCCUUAUGACCUGAUUCCUAGAUCACAAGUAACUGCUAUAGAAGGAAACCAUAUUUUCAAAACAGCUAACCCAGUGUUUGACUUUUCUGUGUUCUCAGGCAAUGAGUUGAUCUUCACCUGCACAGCUAAUCCAUUUGGAUUUGCCAAGCACAAAUCCUAUGGAGAGGUUCUGUUCAACUCCUUGUAUGGCAGCUUAGUUUUCAAUAUCUGAUAUGAAAUUGUUGAGGGAAUGGCUAUGUUAUCUGCAUCAUGAUGGUAAUCCUCUGGUUGUGCAUGGAGAUGAGCACCAGUGUACUAAUGGACAGUCACAUGGAGGCUCAGAUGGCUGAUUUUGGUUAGCCAGACUCAUGCAGAGGGAAGCCACCUUGUGCUCUAGCGUAUACACUGCACCAUGUUCAUCUCCAUUAGAUGUGGUUCAGCAGUUCACUGAUUUCAUAGGACAUAGUAACAUACAGCUGCAAUGCCCUAUUGGUCUUCUGGUAUGUCUGUAGAUGCCCUGCUCUAGAGUUUUUUGGUGUAGCAUUGUGUUGUUUAUUUGGUUUCAAGUAUUUUACAGAGCCUGCAAAUCAUCUACUCAAGUAAGGCCAAAGUAUCAGUUCACUGAGUGUUAUUGGUUCUGUAUUUUACCGAGUAGCGAAGUUUGUUUACCAUUGGAAAUCAGUAGUUUUGGUUCAGGGUUUAAUAUUUUUUUUGGA